rnacentral:rRNA from 1 species
CACAGAGUUAGCCGGUGCUUAUUCUGCGAGUAACGUCCACUCUCCGUAGAUAUUAGCUACGGGAGCCUCCUCCUCGCUUAAAGUGCUUUACAACCAUAAGGCCUUCUUCACACACGCGGCAUGGCUGGAUCAGGGUUCCCCCCAUUGUCCAAUAUUCCCCACUGCUGCCUCCCGUAGGAGUCUGGGCCGUGUCUCAGUCCCAGUGUGGCGGAUCAUCCUCUCAGACCCGCUACAGAUCGUCGCCUUGGUAGGCCUUUACCCACCAACUAGCUAAUCCGACUUAGGCUCAUCUAUUAGCGCAAGGUCUUACGAUCCCCUGCUUUCUCCCGUAGGACGUAUGCGGUAUUAGCGACCCUUUCGAGCCGUUAUCCCCCAUAAUAGGCAGAUUCCUAAGUAUUACUCACCCGUCCGCCGCUAGGAAUCAGGUGCAAGCACCCUAUCCCCGCUCGACUUGCAUGUGUUAAGCCUGCCGCCAGCGUUCAAUCUGAGCCAGGAUC